rnacentral:rRNA from 1 species
UGGGGAAUAUUGGACAAUGGGCGCAAGCCUGAUCCAGCCAUGCCGCGUGCGGGAAGAAGGCCUUCGGGUUGUAAACCGCUUUUGUCAGGGAAGAAACGCUCUGGGCUAAUACCCUGGGGUAAUGACGGUACCUGAAGAAUAAGCACCGGCUAACUACGUGCCAGCAGCCGCGGUAAUACGUAGGGUGCAAGCGUUAAUCGGAAUUACUGGGCGUAAAGCGUGCGCAGGCGGUUAUGCAAGACAGAUGUGAAAUCCCCGGGCUCAACCUGGGAACUGCAUUUGUGACUGUAUAGCUAGAGUACGGUAGAGGGGGAUGGAAUUCCGCGUGUAGCAGUGAAAUGCGUAGAUAUGCGGAGGAACACCGAUGGCGAAGGCAAUCCCCUGGACCUGUACUGACGCUCAUGCACGAAAGCGUGGGGAGCAAACAGGAUUAGAUACCCCCUAGUCCCUGAGCGGGCUGGCAAGGCGCAU